UUAAACUAAAGAGUUUGAUCCUGGCUCAGAUUGAACGCUGGCGGCAUGCCUUACACAUGCAAGUCGAACGGCAGCACGGAGCUUGCUCUGGUGGCGAGUGGCGAACGGGUGAGUAAUAUAUCGGAACGUACCCUGGAGUGGGGGAUAACGUAGCGAAAGUUACGCUAAUACCGCAUACGAUCUAAGGAUGAAAGCAGGGGA
rnacentral:rRNA from 1 species